rnacentral:rRNA from 1 species
UGGGCGCAAGCCUGAUGCAGCAACGCCGCGUGAGGGACGACGGCCUUCGGGUUGUAAACCUCUUUUAGCAGGGAAGAAGCGAAAGUGACGGUACCUGCAGAAAAAGCACCGGCUAACUACGUGCCAGCAGCCGCGGUAAUACGUAGGGUGCAAGCGUUGUCCGGAAUUAUUGGGCGUAAAGAGCUCGUAGGCGGUUUGUCGCGUCUGCUGUGAAAAUCCGAGGCUCAACCUCGGACCUGCAGUGGGUACGGGCAAACUAGAGUGCGGUAGGGGAGAUUGGAAUUCCUGGUGUAGCGGUGGAAUGCGCAGAUAUCAGGAGGAACACCAAUGGCGAAGGCASAUCUCUGGGCCGUAACUGACGCUGAGGAGCGAAAGCGUGGGGAGCGAACAGGAUUAGAUACCCUGGUAGUCCACGCCGUAAACGGUGGGAACUAGAUGUGGGGUCCGUUCCACGGAUUCCGUGUCGCAGCUAACGCAUUAAGUUCCCCGCCUGGGGAGUACGGCCGCAAGGCUAAAACUCAAA